GACGAACGCUGGCGGCGUGCUUAACACAUGCAAGUCGAACGGUGAUGCUCCAGCUUGCUGGAGUGGAUCAGAGGCGAACGGGUGAGUAACACGUGAGCAACCUGCCCCAGACUCUGGAAUAAGCGCUGGAAACGGCGUCUAAUACUGGAUACGAAACUGGCCCGCAUGGGCAUGGUUUGGAAAGUUUUUCGGUUUGGGAUGGGCUCGCGGCCUAUCAGCUUGUUGGUGAGGUAAUGGCUCACCAAGGCGACGACGGGUAGCCGGCCUGAGAGGGCGACCGGCCACACUGGGACUGAGACACGGCCCAGACUCCUACGGGAGGCAGCAGUGGGGAAUAUUGCACAAUGGGCGAAAGCCUGAUGCAGCGACGCCGCGUGAGGGAUGACGGCCUUCGGGUUGUAAACCUCUUUCAGCAGGGAAGAAGCGAAAGUGACGGUACCUGCAGAAGAAGCACCGGCUAACUACGUG
rnacentral:rRNA from 1 species